rnacentral:misc_RNA from 1 species
AAAGAGAGAGGCCAGUACAAGAUCAAGGCAUAGAAUAAGCUCAAUAUAUCAUUAGAAUACAAAUCAGAAAGGAGAUCUAAAGAACAACUAGCUUCCACAUUAUAAACGGCCCAAGGCCCAUAAUCACAAACCCUGGAGCUAACAGAGAAAGAUAAGACAAACAAACCACAGGACCGCUAGACUUCCAUCGCCACCUUGAAGAGGAUCAUCGGGUUCUCGAAUGGAAACAACAAACCAACAAAGCUCAAACCUAAGAAGCCACCUUCAAAAAAGAAAAAAAGGUAAGUCCUUCAAAGACGAAAUCAACUAGAUUCGACGAUCUGCAAGGAGAGUCGACAGGCAAAGCUCAUGUUGCUUAUGUGCGUUAGAGGGUAAUGGAACUCCAGAGAUGCCCAUCCUCACGAUACUAGAGCACCCUCUCGCGAGCUAAGUCAGAUGCAAACGCCAAG